AGUGAACGCUGGCGGUAGGCCUAACACAUGCAAGUCGAACGGCAGCACAGUAAGAUCUUGCUCUUACGGGUGGCGAGUGGCGGACGGGUGAGGAAUACAUCGGAAUCUACUUUUUCGUGGGGGAUAACGUAGGGAAACUUACGCUAAUACCGCAUACGACCUACGGGUGAAAGCAGGGGAUCUUCGGACCUUGCGCGAUUGAUUGAGCCGAUGUCGGAUUAGCUAGUUGGCGGGGUAAAGGCCCACCAAGGCGACGAUCCGUAGCUGGUCUGAGAGGAUGAUCGGCCACACUGGAGCUGAGACACGGUCCAGACUCCUACGGGAGGCAGCAGUGGGGAAUAUUGGGCAAUGGGCGCAAGCCUGAUCCAGCCAUACCGCGUGGGUGAAGAAGGCCUUCGGGUUGUAAAGCCCUUUUGUUGGGAAAGAAAAGCAGCAGGUUAAUACCCCGCUGUUCUGACGGUACCCAAAGAAUAAGCACCGGCUAACUUCGUG
rnacentral:rRNA from 1 species